AAACCGUUCAGGGGUAAACCUGAGAAACCCGAAAGUUCGAAGGGAGAGAUUCACCGCGAUUCGUGUCGUCGGCGAGGGCGCGUGCGGACGUCGUGCGAAUUUCGUACGCGCCGAACGCGUCCCGUCGUGGCGUGCGAUCGCGUGCACUUCUCUCCUGGUAGGACGUCGCGACCCGUUGGGCGUCGGUCUACGAUCGAAUGGGAAGUCCGCGAGGCGAUCGCCUCAAAACGAUCUCGUCCUCGCGAACCCGUCGCAUCCGGCCGACUCGCUCGACGGUAGUUAACGAAGGGCGCGGGGCCGCGACUAGUUCGCGUCCGGCCCGUCGCAAGCGUGUCCGGUAAUUCGGUGCACUCGGCGGCCUCGUGUCUCCGGUCCCGGAUCCGGGCUACUGUUGGCGGCGGUGCUCUCGGACAGACUCCGUAUACACGCUCGUCAGCGACGCUAUCGCUUUGGGUACUUUCAGGACCCGUCUUGAAACACGGACCAAGGAGUCUAGCAUGCACGCGAGUCUUCGCGACUCUGUGACGAAACCUGAAGGCAGAAUGAAAGUGAAGGUCCGCCUUGCGCGCGACCUAGGGAAGACGGGUCGGCUCCCUUCACGGGGAACGACCCGGCAUUCCCGGGGCGUCUCGAUCUCAUCGCGAGAUGAGGCGCACCCAGAGCGUACACGCU
rnacentral:rRNA from 1 species